UUUUUUUUUGAAUAUCAGGAGGUUCUGGGCCGGAGCCCGUAAUCCCCAGGCCCGAAACCACAACAUGUAAUAUUAGUUUCGUUGUCACUCAAACCGGCGACCUCUAAAUUUCGCUUAAAGUAUUUAUCAAUUGAGCUAACGACACUUGAUUAAAUAUAACUCUUCCCAUCACCUCUUCCAAAAAAAGGAAU
rnacentral:sRNA from 1 species